rnacentral:lncRNA from 1 species
GGACUGAUGGAAUACUACUGAAUCCUGUUAACUGAUUGAAUUCUACCGAUCGUGACAUGACUGAUACUUUUCUGUGACUGACCAUGGCUCUAGGUUAAUAACUAAAUUGUCGGGUAUUGAAUACCCCCAAGACUCGAUAGCAUAAAUUAUACGCAUAGCACAAUUUUGAAACAUGAUAAAUAACUACUUGAUCAUCAUUCAUUCAUAGGGAUAUUCUAUCAAAACACUUACAUGACAUAAACUUGAAUACAUGCUAACAUGAUAUAAUUUCGUUAUUAAAUUCUCACGAACAAUUAAUCAAACACUUGAAGGACAUAAUCUAUGCACAUGAUACUAAAACAACAUGGACACAUCAUAGCUCAAUUCCACAUUUACAA